UGGGGAAUUUUGGACAAUGGGCGCAAGCCUGAUCCAGCCAUGCCGCGUGCGGGAAGAAGGCCUUCGGGUUGUAAACCGCUUUUGUCAGGGAAGAAACGGUCCGGGCUAAUACUCCGGACUAAUGACGGUACCUGAAGAAUAAGCACCGGCUAACUACGUGCCAGCAGCCGCGGUAAUACGUAGGGUGCAAGCGUUAAUCGGAAUUACUGGGCGUAAAGCGUGCGCAGGCGGCUUUGCAAGACAGAUGUGAAAUCCCCGGGCUCAACCUGGGAACUGCAUUUGUGACUGCAUCGCUGGAGUGCGGCAGAGGGGGAUGGAAUUCCGCGUGUAGCAGUGAAAUGCGUAGAUAUGCGGAGGAACACCGAUGGCGAAGGCAAUCCCCUGGGCCUGCACUGACGCUCAUGCACGAAAGCGUGGGGAGCAAACAGG
rnacentral:rRNA from 1 species